GGAAAACCAUCCAUGAGCUGCAGUAAAAUGUAGCCUUAGUGUUUGUUGAUACAGUGGGGGUCAUGAUGUCUGAGUCCAGCAGCAAGAAUUGACCAUUUUACUCAACUGGCCAGAUGUGUCGUUAUCUGUAGCAUCCCUGCUGGUGCCUCUACAAAUUACACCUGCAACAUGAGGGGUCGUCAUGUGAACAUCAUUCCCGAUGUUAUCCAGGCUCUCACGCUCUGUGAAGUGGAAGUCUAUGGGGUUCCAGUGCCUGUUACUAAGAGGGCAUUUCUGAGAUUGAAGUUUAACAGCAGUGAGGAUCUUAUGAACCCUACUGUGAGGGACAAAAUUCUUCAAAAGAUGAUAUCUGCCAAUGUCCAGCCUUCAGUGCGUCAGAUCCGUUGGACUAAGGAACCAGAGGUGGAAAAAGAAACUUAAAAAACGGUGGCAGAAAUAUAUCUGAAACAACAAGAAAAAGAUGAAGUGGAAGAAGAAGAAGAAGUGUUCAAAGAACAAAAAGAAAAAACAUCAAAUGUGUGAGGUUUGGGUGUAGCACUUGAAAAUACUAGCUAACUGAUGUUAUAGGUUUAUUAAUUAGAAGUACUAGAAGUUUUUUAGUUUAUUUGUUUGGGAAAUGUAUCUAUGAAAAAUUACCACAGGGUUUGUACAAGGUGCUUGAAUUUGGCAUUUGGAAAUAUAAGUACUGGAAGACCUUAAAUAGCCUUUUUUAUGUAACAGUGGUUAAAAAGUGCUUGAAUGUUAUUUAUUUAUUGACUUUUUAUCAAUCACUUUAAAGGGUUUAUUUUCAAAAGAACACGAAUACAACCCUUUCACUCAAAAUAUGACUCCCCGCUGCAGCCCCUCCUCCUCCUGCUGUUCACUCAUUCAUUUUAACAGGCUUCGGACCACUUCUCAGACCCC